rnacentral:rRNA from 1 species
AACAAACACGCGCAAUAUACACACUUUUUGUGUGCAUAUUCUUUUCUGGCCUCAAAUCAGGUAAGAUUACCCGCUGAACUUAAGCAUAUCAAUAAGCGGAGGAAAAGAAACUAACAAGGAUUCCCUUAGUAACGGCGAGUGAAGCGGGAAUAGCUCAAAUUUGAAAGCUGGCAGCAAUGUCCGCGUUGUAAUCUCGAGAAGUGUUUUCCGUGCUGGACCAUAGAUAUGUUCCUUGGAAUAGGAUGUCAAAGAGGGUGAGAAUCCCGUACAUGCUAUGGACGCCCAGUGCUUUGUGAUACACUUUCGAAGAGUCGAGUUGUUUGGGAAUGCAGCUCAAAAUGGGUGGUAAAUUCCAUCUAAAGCUAAAUAUUGGGGAGAGACCGAUAGCAAACAAGUACCGUGAGGGAAAGAUGAAAAGCACUUUGGAAAGAGAGUUAAACAGUACGUGAAAUUGUCAAAAGGGAAGCGCUUCAAGUCAGAUAUGGCUUUGAAUGUUCAGCCUUUAGGUGUAUUCAUUUUUUGUCAGGCCAGCAUCGAUUUUGAACGUCGGAUAAGGGUAGAAGGAAUGUAGCAUACUUUCGGGUAUGUGUUAUAGCCUUUUACUGGAUACGACGAUCGGGAUCGAGGUUCGCAGCACACCCUUUUUUGGGCAGGUCUUCGGACACUUU